rnacentral:rRNA from 1 species
AUGAACGCUAGCUACAGGCUUAACACAUGCAAGUCGAGGGGCAGCGGUAUCGAAAGCUUGCUUUCGGUAGCCGGCGACCGGCGCACGGGUGAGUAACGCGUAUCGAACCUGCCUCAUACCCGGGAAUAGCCUUGCGAAAGUAAGAUUAAUGCCCGGUGUUUUCAGAGUCCCGCCUGAGGCCUUGAACAAAGAUUUAUCGGUAUGAGAUGGCGAUGCGUCCCAUUAGCUUGUUGGCGGGGUAACGGCCCACCAAGGCAUCGAUGGGUAGGGGUUCUGAGAGGAAGGUCCCCCACAUUGGAACUGAGACACGGUCCAAACUCCUACGGGAGGCAGCAGUGAGGAAUAUUGGUCAAUGGGCGGAAGCCUGAACCAGCCAAGUAGCGUGCAGGAAGACGGCCCUCCGGGUUGUAAACUGCUUUUAGUUGGGAAUAAAACGGGGCUCGUGAGCCCCCUUGCAUGUACCAUCAGAAAAAGGACCGGCUAAUUCCGUG